AAGUCGUAACAAGGUUUCCGUAGGUGAACCUGCGGAAGGAUCAUUAACACGUAUCCAACGUUAAACCCCCCUGUGAACCUUCAUUGUGCUCCCACGCUUUGUUAGAAAGUGGCAAUCCCUGGUAAAUCAUCGCCGAACAGUUUUGAUUCAGGGACUUCUGCGAAGAGGGUGAAUGAGGCGAGUGUCUGAAAGUGUCACUAACUCUGUACGAAUGGCGCAGUCACGUUCGCUGGAGGCCGACACGGCCGGCGACCGGGUCCCUGAGCUCUGCAUGAAAACGGGCCUGCGCUUAAUUGUGCGGCCACCAAACUCGAACAACUGUUAACAAUGGAUAUCUUGGUUCUC
rnacentral:misc_RNA from 1 species